CCUACGUGAGGCAGCAGUGAGGAAUAUUGGUCAAUGGACGAGAGUCUGAACCAGCCAAGUAGCGUGAAGGAUGACUGCCCUAUGGGUUGUAAACUUCUUUUAUAUGGGAAUAAAAUGUUCCACGUGUGGGAUUUUGUAUGUACAAUAUGAAUAAGGAACGGCUAACUCCGGUACAGAAGCCGCGGUAAUACGGAGGAGCCGGGCGUUAUACGGAUUCAUUGUGUUGAAAGGGAGCGGAGGUGGAUUGUUAAGUCAGUUGUGAAAGUUUGCGGCUCAACCGUAAAAUUGCAGUUGAAACUGGCAGUCUUGAGUACAGUAGAGGUGGGCGGAAUUCGUGGUGUAGCGGUGAAAUGCUUAGAUAUCACGAAGAACUCCGAUGGCGAAGGCAGCUCACUGGACUGCAACUGACACUGAGGCUCGAAAGUGUGGGUAUCAAACAGGAUUAGAUACCCUAGUAGUC
rnacentral:rRNA from 1 species